AGGGGGGUGGGUGGCACUCUGAAGGCUAUCCAGCACGAUCCGGCCCUUUCCCUUGGCAAUUCUGUGACACUUUCCAAUCUAAGGCCGACAGAGCAAGGCAACCAGAUUUUUUUCUACAGCACCCUCCCAGGUGAGCAGUGGGCCUGGAGCCCUUCUGUAACCUGGCAUCUGUAGGUCUUCUCAUUAAGAACGAGAGUCAGAAGAGGAAAGGACUUAACACUCAUUACAACUCAGUCAUGGGGCUCUGAAGCGUCCCGAGGUCCCCUCUUUCCCACCCUACCUGUCGGCUGCGCGGCUCCACCACUUGCCAAACUAGGAGGAUUAAGUCGGUCUCGUCCGAGCCUAGGUCCGGCCCCAGCGCACCGGCAGUGGCCCCGAACAAAACCACCAGCGACUGAGCAGGCACUCUGAGUCCUCCGCAAAAGAAUGUGCAGGAUCAGAGGCCUCUUUCCAUUCUGCAAGGGUCACGCAAGACCCAUGGAAUUCAACAGGAGGCAAUCUAGGGACUAUAAAAGGUCGCGACGUCUGGCUUGAGGUUAAUGGAAGUUACAAAGGGUCAAAAGCCGACAGUGAGCGCUACCAGGUAUCCACUGGAAGUCGGUGAGAGAGAUCCGUUGGGGAAAGGGAGGGAGGUAAAGAUCAAGGGUUCUUAGAACUGUGGGCGGUCACUAGAGAUCACAGAGAAGGACGUGCCCAUACAGGUGUCGGGUCGGCGUAGUGCCGGCAGUGCAAGGCGCACGUUACUGUGGACCUGAAGGCUCAGGCCUUGGUGCCAAGGUAGGAAAAUCGUGCUUAAACUUUAGAGAGCUGUAUCCUAAAUGAAGCCGUGUCUGCUGGUAGAGAUCUGGAAGUUCAGCCUACCAACCCCACUUGGGGUUUGCCUGCUUGUUUUUGUCUCUCUUGGAUGAUGAUAGAAGUGUUAUCUGGCUAUUGAAAGCACUCCAGCAGAGAGCGGCUAGAGUUGAGAUGUGUAGAGUUGAGUCUGCAUCCCCCAACCCAGUUCAGAAGAGUCCCAUUCAUCCCAUGCAGUUUGGUGAAACUCCCUUACUGUUGUUUCCAGGCCGCCCUGUGGGCUCAGGAUAGUUUCCCACCUACUCGACUGUAAUUAGUACUCUGGCGAGAGUAAAAAGGUACUGGCGUGGGACUUAGAAUACAGGAUGCCACCGGCUGAAGAAGAACCUUGUGUGUUUGGAAAAGCGGGCUGCUUCCUAUCGGUCUUGGAUAAAAGGCAACCCAGAGCCCGGGUGCAUCCCUAACUCAUGCCCAAGGAAGGUCGUGCGGAGCCAGAGGACCUAGAAUGUAUAGUGCGCCUUCUGGGUUUGUCCACACAAUAGCGCAGGAACACAGCGACCCAAUAUAGUGAGAAGUGGCCGCAGCGCACACCCUGAGACCCUUCACCAGGCGGCCCACCCGGAGCCUGCCUACUCAGCCCCGCUACCACGAUAAGCCUGGAAUGUCAAAUAUUUGUUCUAGGAACCCAGUGAAACCUUGAGGUAAAGCCCCUCCCCUCCUCCCUCCCAUUCCGGAGCGCGCCUGCGUCAGUCCAGGCUUUCCGGUAAGGACACUCCCUUCCAACUAGUUCCUUCUCGACACCCCUGCAACCCAUCGUCCUGACUAUUUAAACUUCACAAGGUCUUCGCUACAGGCUCAGGUUCAGUGAGGCAGAGUCUUGGCUUCCCUACCCAGUUAUCCCAGAGCUACUGGUAUCGGUUUCUACCCACAACCUCCGAGCAAGGCUCCCCUUUCAACCUGUAGACCUCGCCUCCCGAUUCUCGGGAGAUCUUGCUGACUGUGGAAUCCCUGGCUGUUCCGAACCCCCUGGAAAGAAGCGGCUGUUCCCAGGUUUCUGCAAGGUAACGAAUCUGAAGAGUCAACAGAAUUGAGCGGCUCCAUUCAUUCGACUCUGGUUCUCUCAACCAGGCAUUCCCCAUAUUAAAACAAUUCCAGAACUUCAAA
rnacentral:lncRNA from 1 species